UACACAACAUAGAGUCUACAAGCUUACA
rnacentral:sRNA from 1 species